AUGAGGAGCUUGAGCAGUUCGUGCAUUCAUCCCUCUUCCCUCGACCAUCGACGUCUACUGCGACAAGAUCCGCCACCUCGUCACUGUGGGUCGACGCCUUUUGGGGCGCAUCUCCUUCCACCGCCUCCACAUCAAGAACGACUGCCGCCUCGAGGGGAUCACCAAGAUGGCCGAUCUGGUGCGCCCCUUCCCACCUCCCCUCCCUUCGCCGCUCGCACUCGUCCUCUAAUGGGUCUCCAUCGCGCCAUCUCUUCCUUGUUGAUCUCGGUUGCUGCCUCCGCCUCGUCUCUUCUCCAUGGGAACAACAGAUGGCAACAAGGAAAGUGGCUCGGCCCAACCAUGGCCAUGUCGCCGCCACCAGUUGUUUUCUCCGCCCUUCCCUCUAAGCUCCUUCUGAUUCCUUCAUAA
rnacentral:rRNA from 1 species